AAGGAAUUAACCCUGCAAACAGAUCUCAUAUUUCUAGCCUCCAGAAUUGUAAGAAUAUUAAUCUCUGUUGUUUAAGACACUCAUCUAUGGUUCUUUGUUAUGCAACCUGUCUUUGUUUGUUUUGUGCUUACCUGAAACUAAUUUUGUGGAGUGGUACUGGAGGUUGAACCUAGUGGUGCAUUACCACUGAGCUACAUCCCAAGCCCUUUUUAAUUUUUAUUUUGAGACAGGGUCUUGUUAAGUUGCUGAGGGUCUCACAGAGUUGCUAAGACUGGCUUUUAAUGUGCAAUCUGCCUGCCUCAGCCUCACGAGUCACUAGAAUUAUAGGUGUACACCACUGUGCCCUGUAAGACAUAGUAAUUUACAGAGAACAGAAAUUUAUUUCAUAGUUCUGGAGGCUAAGAAGUCCAAGAUCAAGCCAUCACAGCUUGUGAGGACCUUACUGUGUCUGCACAUGGUAGAAGGUAGAAAGAAGUACAAGAGAGAAUGAACUCCAUGCUGUCACGUGGCAAAGGAGGAGAAGGACAAGAGUGUUGAAUCCACUCUCACAUCCACUCCUCUAUAUAGUGGCAUUAAUCCAUCUGUGAGUGCAGUCUCGACCUGAAACCUCCUGAAGGCCCCUCCUGCCAACACUGUUGCAUUGAAGAUUAAGUUUCUUUCAUGUGAAUUUUGAGGGAUACAGGGCUGGGGUUGUGUGGCUCAGUGGUAGAGUGCUUGCCUUAUAUGGGUGAGGCAUUAGGUUUGAUUCUCAGCACUGCAUAUAAAUUUAAAAAAAAAAAAAAAGAUUUUGAGGGACACAAAGAAUCUGUAGUACAACUCCAACAAACUAAUGUAGACUUAAACCCAACCAUGUUAAUACUUCCUUUAAAUAUAAAGCCUG
rnacentral:lncRNA from 1 species